UGUACCCGCUUGUGUUGUCUCAGUCUUAAUAAUGCGUAGUAAGAAUUUACCUAUAUUAUAAAAUGUAUAGGCAAGAAAAUUAUCUUUUCGCCUCCACGUACGUUUAAUUUUGGAUCAAGUUAUAAGUAUUUUAAAAUUGUAAAUUUGUAUUAUAUAAUAUAUAGUUUUUUCUUUGACUAAAUUUGAAUGGUAUGAAAACUUUUUUUUAAAACUAAAUGGGUACGUCCUGGCCCCAGAAGGAAACAUAAGUAACAGAAGUAAUUGAUAAUAUGGAGAUGGAGAUAGCUUUAAUUAAAUAUAUAAGUACCAAGUUAAGUUAUUCAGGUACAUUCAUUUAUCAGUCUUAGGUGUUCAAGUAGUGACGUGACCGAUUACCGUUGACGCAUGAAUCCAGAGUUACAAUUAAAAAGAUUCAAUGAUGAAGUUGUCAUGCGAAGACGAACACAAUUGCUCAUAGUUUAUUUAUUGGAAUAAUUUCGAUCAUGAUAGAAAAUGUUUACAACUAGAUGAUAGCAAUUUUCAAUUAAAUAUACAUCCAGCGCGACGGUUGUAGUGCGAAGCUAAGAAAAAAAAGCGAGUUGCCACUAACGUAUGGUGCCAUAGUUCUACCAUUGAAAAUUGAAAACCAUGCUAAUUUGUGCUAAUCCAUCGGCCCGUUUAACAGAUCAAACGGCUAAACAUAUAAGGUCAUAUAAGGACAAUCGAUAUAUAAUAUAUAUCAAUCAAUCAGAAAUAUUGUACAGAUGUCAACGG
rnacentral:lncRNA from 1 species